UACAUUUACGUUUGUUUAGGUGGUAGGACAACGAUUUGAACCAAUAUAAUUUUUGUAUUUCUGAGAACAUAUUUGAGGAAGUGACAUCGAAGGAGGCCUAUUUUUGCUAAAACGUUUCAAACAGCAAAUGGUUUCAGUUCCUGAGACUGGGCCAUAACUGCUGGAGAGAGCAUCUCAGGAACAGUGGAGGAACCAUCAGAUCAUUGUCCAAUCAGACCGGGGGACCAGCACUAUGUCAUCCACUGCUUCUUCAGGAGAGCAGCAGUUUCCUUAUAUGGGGAACCGGUGUGGAUCUUGACAUGCCCCAUGACAGGUGCAGUGAUGAUGGACACACUGCUGUUGACUGGACGUGACGGGCGGCAGGCAGCACUGAAUGGCCACGCUCCUGGUAGAGGAAAUCAUUUAAUCAACCACUGCAUCACAGGAAACAACAAGAUUUAACACAAUAACAGAUAAAAACAUUCUGUAGCAUCAAUACAUGCACUUAAACCUUCUGAGGUAUGUAAAUAAAGA